UAAUUAGAUGUAUACAAAGACCUCCGUUGACGUUUUCAUUGCUUCCUGUCACUUUUUUCCUUUUCAAAAUACAAUGAACUAUGCAGUAUUAAGAACAACUGUUGUAAAAUUGUUGCCUUGAGCGAGAGGUGAACCCGUGACCUCUUGCCUGCCAGUUAAUCGUAAGCAUUGCAGUAGAGCAAAAAUGUGAAUGAAGACACCAUACUUUCCAUGAAUGGGACAGCUUCUAUGGCAUUUGGCUUUUGACUUUUCACAUUUACAGCGAGUUCAGUUACAGUCGCUUGUACAAUUGCAGUAUUGAAGUCCUUAACCUUCUAAAUUAGAAGAUGAAUUAAAGAUGUGACUGAAAAGAUAUAUCAAGAUUAUGUGUUGAACUCGGCGCUUUUUUCUGCAACUCCACUAUUUUAUCUAGGCAAAAGUUUCAAGCUAUUCUCAAAUAUCAAGUUACCUACAACGAAAUAAAUAGUCAAAUCAUCAUAUAUAUAUAUAAAUAUAUAUGUGUGCGUACAUGUGUGCUUAUGUAUGUCCAUAUAUCCAUUAAAUAUCUGAAAACGGGCUAAUCUAGAAA